CAGUUGCAUGGACCUCAGCUCUUGGAAGCUGUUUGAUCCUUGUUUCGCUCUCGUGAAGACUGGAGUUCAGUCUAUGGGCUUUGACAAAGAGCUCAUGGUUCCUGCUUUGAAGUGCACAGCCUUCCACCUCCUGUGGGAGAGAAGAAAGAUCUCAGACUCUGACUCGCCCACCACAGACAAGGCGGAGGUGAAGAGAAUGAGGAAGGAGGUUCACUCGUUCUGUAUUGUGUGCCAGAGUUGUCUCUCUCUUGGAAACGCUCAAAUCAGGGACCAGGUGAGUCCCCACAGUACUGA